UUACUUACCUGGCAGGGGAGAUACCAUGAUCAAAAAGGUGGUUUUCCCACACUCAGAAUGUGCUGACCCCUGAGAUUUCCAAAAUGUGGGAAACUCAACAGCAUAAUUUGUGGUAGUGGGGGACUGCAUUUGCACUCUCCCC
rnacentral:snRNA from 1 species